rnacentral:rRNA from 1 species
UGCAUAGGAAUCUACCCCAGUAUGGGGGAUAACGUGGAGAAAUCCACGCUAAUACCGCAUAUGCCCUACGGGGCAAAGCAGGGGACCUUCGGGCCUUGCGCUAUUGGAUGAGCCUAUGUCGGAUUAGCUUGUUGGUGAGGUAAAAGCUCACCAAGGCGACGAUCCGUAGCUGGUCUGAGAGGAUGAUCAGCCACACUGGGACUGAGACACGGCCCAG